CAGUCGUACCAACGGGAAAUCAAUUCAUCGAGUGUUAAAUUUGGGUUUUUAAGAGUGUUAAAACCUUUGGGUUCAGAUAUUUUCACUUUUUGAACGUAUUUUCUCGUACGGUAGGUUAACAUCGAUUUUGAACAUUAUAAAAUGAUCGGAGGAAUGUAGCUUCGAUCUCGUAUUGAAGUGUUAUAGCCUUUGGUAGAUGUAAUGAUCGAGAUCGAGGAUUGCAACGAAUACCCUUUUGGGGCUAUCCGCCUGAUCUCUGAUACGUGGCCUUGGUAUCGAAAGCUUGCUUAUGGUAUUAAGGUAUUACGGUCAAAAGGUUAGAACGGAUUACA
rnacentral:rRNA from 1 species